CACGUAGGGUGCAAGCGUUGUCCGGAAUCAUUGGGCGUAAAGAGCUCGUAGGCGGCUUAGUAAGUCGGGUGUGAAAACCCCAGGCUCAACCUGGGGACGCCACCCGAUACUGCUAAAGCUAGAGUCCAGUAGGGGAGUGUGGAAUUCCCAGUGUAGCGGUGAAAUGCGCAGAUAUUGGGAGGAACACCGGUGGCGAAGGCGGUGGUCUGGGCCGGCACUGACGCUGAGACGCGAAAGCGUGGGGAGCAAACAGG
rnacentral:rRNA from 1 species